rnacentral:rRNA from 1 species
CCUACGGGAGGCUGCAGUGGGGAAUAUUGCACAAUGGGGGCAACCCUGAUGCAGCGACGCCGCGUGAGUGAAGAAGUAAUUCGUUAUGUAAAGCUCUAUCAGCAGGGAGGAAAAUGACGGUACCUGAGUAAGAAGCCCCGGCUAACUACGUGCCAGCAGCCGCGGUAAUACGUAGGGGGCAAGCGUUAUCCGGAGUGACUGGGUGUAAAGGGAGCGUAGACGGCAGUGCAAGUCUGGAGUGAAAGGCGGGGGCUCAACCCCCGGACUGCUCUGGAAACUGUACGGCUGGAGUGCAGGAGAGGUAAGUGGAAUUCCUAGUGUAGCGGUGAAAUGCGUAGAUAUUAGGAGGAACACCAGUGGCGAAGGCGGCUUACUGGACUGUAACUGACGUUGAGGCUCGAAAGCGUGGGGAGCGAACAGGAUUAGAUACCCCUGUAGUC